rnacentral:misc_RNA from 1 species
UUGCAUGAUGCUACUCAUUCUCUGCCAAGAGCUUUUGCCUAAUUACAGCCACCAUCCACGUCCCAGUAAUUGAGCUACGGAAGCUUACAAGGCAUUAGACUACUGGCAGAGGUGACCUUUACUCAUUGCAAUAUGUCAAAAAGCUUUGAGACAAAGUUUAAAUGAAAGCUAUACAUAUCACACAUCUAAAAAUGGGAAAUUCUGCCCAUUAACUGCAAACUUGAACAUUUAUAACAAUAAAAAGAUCAACGGAAGAACAAUGUAAACAAGAACUAGAGUCGCUUAAUAAACUUCUUUAUUCUUUUCCUCAGAGUCUGGCUCUUAAAAUUUUCAACUUCUACUGGCCUGACCAUCUUCUUCACUUGAAUUGAAGAACUUAGCUAGUUUUGCAGAUACGGAUAGUUGGCUCUCAUCCAAUAAUUCUUCAUUUCCAUCGUAGUCAUCAUCAUUUUCGUAAACCAGAUGAAUGCCACACUUCUUCAGUUGAACGCCUAUAAUGAUUGGCGGAUUUGGCGCCUUUACCGCUAACUUAUAACCAUCUUUCAAUCUAGAAACCAAUGGAUGAGAAUAUGUGUACCGACACAAGUGGAUUUGAUCUUCAUCAGUCUUUGGCACUCCCCGUAAGUCCAAUGUGUUUACGCAUAAAGGUGUAUUUGCUUUAGACAUCCUUGCUUGAAGGGCUGGUAGAGAUGGUAUUUCAUCUCUCAAGUCGUCUGGUAUCCGAUGGUCCACAGAGACAACAGCACAUAUAAUCACUGCCUUGAUUUCUAGGUUUCUUCGCUCUGAAUAGCUAACUUCUUCUUGAGAAAACCAAUCCGGAAUUUUGCUUCCAGGUAUACUCAAGUUUCUCAUAUUCCUCAAGAAAACCUGCAAUAAAAAUUAUACAAGAAACACAGCCAUGGUAUUAUCAAUGAACAUAGUGUUCAUGCACGCGCGCGCACGCACACACACACACAAAAACACACACAGAGAUGAACCUUUGAAAGUCUUCUCUUUACUGUCAGGGAACAUGCCCUACAACCGGUCAUGUAUAAUCUGGUCAAGGAUUUAAUGCAUUCAAACCCUGGAAUAUCCAGCACUUUCUCGCAAUUUGCAAGGUUCAGCUCCUUUAAGCUCUUCAAGUUUGACAUAUCAGAUACACUUUCCAAUGCAAUACAGUUGGAAACAUCCAGUUCUUCUAAACUUGAAGGCAAUGGAGGGAGAGACACGAGUUCUUCACAGUGUCGCAAGCAAAGAAUUCUGAGAAGAGAAAGGCCCUUCAAGCUUGAAGGAAGGCUGUAAAAAUUGUUGUAGCCAAGAUCCAAGGUCUCUAGCAUUGACAACUUCUCAAAAUCAUCAGGAAUCUUACCAGAUAUUCCCCAAGCAUGAGCGUCCAGUUCUACUAGCGAGGAGAGAUUCGGAAAGAAUGUUGGGAGUACAACCAACUUCUCUUGUGUACUAGGAGAUCUGAAUGCUUUUUUUUUCUUUUUCAUUUUCAAUAUCAUUAAGUUGGAGAGCAUGCCAAAACUCUCAGGGAGUACUGUUACACCAGUUCUCUCCAUCAGAAGAUGGUGCAAGGACUUCAAGUUCCCUAUUGACGCUGGAAGUUUCUCCAGCUCUUUACACUCGUUGAGAGUCAAUGUUAUAAGAUUUUCCAACAUCCCAAUAGAUUCAGGCAACUCAAUAAUAUUAGCACCAGACAAGUUUAAAGUAGUAAGAGCAUUCAUGCUCCCAAGUGCUUCUGGUAAAGUUCUAAUCAAUGCACACUUCUGCAUGUAAAGCUUCUCAAUCAUUCUCAAAUAUCCAAUCUGAUCUGGCAGACUGGUAAUUGAAGUCCCAUCUAAUUGAAGUUCACUAAUGCAAGAUAGUCCCUUGAUUGAAUCUGGCAAUUUGCUUAGAGAUUCACAGCCUUCAGCGGAUAACUGCUUCAGGUAAGACAAUGAACCGAUUGAAUGGGGCAGUUCUGUGAUUGCACUUUUACCAACAAAAAUUUCUGUCAAGGACUGCAGCUCACCAAUAGAUUCAGGAAGGGAGGAAAGUGACUUGCACUGCCUCAAACUUAGUGUCUCAAGGUUUGACAAAGAUCCAACAGAAUCAGGCAAUUCUUCCAAUGCAGUUUGAUCAAGUAAGAGGUCUUUCAGAGAAAUCAAGUUACCUAAGCAUUUUGGCAACCUUUUUAUGAAUCGGCAACCAUCCAGAUUAAGCUUCUCAAGUUUUGUAAGGCGAUAGAUAGAUUCAGGCAACUUUGAAAUAGCAGUUUGAUCAACAUGAAGUUCUUUCAGGGACUUCAUACUCCCUAUGUCCUCUGGCAAUUCUUUCAAUUUUGAGCAGCCGGAGAGAAUAAGGUUUUGAAGAUUUUUUAGCCCAGAGACAUCACUCGGCAUUUCAAUGAGGUUUGAGCAUCCUUUCAAGUUCAAGCAAAGCAAUGUCGUCAAAUUCCCCACCGACUUGUGAAUUUUAGUCAGUCGAAUGCACCUCUCCAGAUCAAGCUUUUCCAAGGUUUUAUACCCAUAUAAAUCAGGAAUAGCCACUAGAUUAUGGCAAUGACGAAGAUUCAUAACCAUCAACUUCUCAGCCACCUUGUUGCUGCACCAACCCCAGACUCGUUGAAUUCCACUCUCCGAGAGAUCAAGGAUGGCCAGUCGUGAAGGAUGAUAAUCAGAAGGAAGAUUUCUCAAAGGACAUUCCUUCCACUGCAGCCACUUGAGCUCCCCAGGAAAAUAUUUAAACUUCCCUUCUAAUUUCACACGAUUGAUUUGUAGCAAUCUUAGAUUAACCAUUGAUUCAAAGGAACUGGUGCUAAGUAUUAUCUCACCCUGUUUCUCUUCUCCUCGUGGAAGACUUAGAAGACGUGCCCAUUUUUCUUUCAGGUAUGCAAGGAAGUUAUCACAAACAAUCAUGAUUUUUGUAAUAACUUUCUUGAGGAUCGAGUUUGGAUUUAGUGCAGCUAGGAAGUUACUGCAAAAAAUCAUGCCAGCACUUGGAUCCUCCUCCACAAAAUGCUUCCUUCUGAAGUCAAGGAUGAUCCCUUGCACGUAUCUUGUCCCCUUGUUAUGCUUCAGAACUGUCAUGAUUUCAUCAUAAUCCCACAAUCUACUAUGUGCACCGGGAUCAGCAAGGUUUUCAAGUAAAACAAUUUGUCUUCCCAUUUCUUUAAGUUGAUCGUGCAUCCACAAAGUAUAGUCUCCAGACUCCUCUCUGAACUUAAUGAGAGAUUUUUCCAUGAGGACAUUAAUUGCUGUCUCAGCCUUAAAGCCACAACCUUUAAAUAUAUCAAUUGCUUCCUCUCUCUUCAUUUCUAUUCUAGUGAACAAACAUGCAAUAUCAAGGAAUACACACUUCUCUUCUUCAUCGAGUGCAUCAAAACUUAUUCUUAGCACACCUUGAAGAUUAUGUGGCCGAAUCUGUUGCAACUUUUUGAGGGCAUCUUCCCAUUCGUUCAUUGUCCUCCUAUGAAACAUAUAAGAGCCAAACACUUCCAGUGCUAAAGGUAGUCCUCCUGUAAGAGAGACAAUUUUCUGGGCCAGAUUCAAGUAAUCAUUUGUGGGUUUCUCUCUUCUUAGUGCAUGAUAACUAAAAAGUUGUAAAGCUUCAGAGGGAUACAAUUCUGUCACUUCAUGAACUUCAUUCACAAGAUGUUCAACCAAAACAUGUUUAUUUCUUGUGGUAAUAAUAAUUACACUUCCUUCACAAAACCAGUUUCUGUUUACUGCCAGUGCAUUGAGCUGGCUUACAUCAUCCACAUCGUCCAAGACAGCUAGCAGCCGCCGCUCGGGAAGCUUCUGUUUGAUCAUAGUGAUACCAGCAUCAACCUCAUGCACAGGUGACACUAAAGCAGGUGAAAGAGCACAAAGAAUUUUAUUUUGAAGUGAUAUCAAACCGCCAUCUUCUUUAGCAGUUUCUCUAACAUUUGAAAUGAAACAGCGGCAUUCAAAGUGACUGAUAAGUUUAUUGUAGAGGGCCUUGGAAAGAGUUGUUUUACCAAUCCCACCCAUUCCAUGAAGUCCUAGAACUUGAGUGCAAUUAGAUUUAACAUUUAACAACUUCAUCAGUUUGUCUGCACGAGAAUCGAGUCCAACUGUAUAUGUAGCUAUACCCACUGUCCUUCUCAGUUCUGUCAAAACCCUUCUGACUAGUAUUUGAAUCAACUGCUGUUCUUUGCUGUUGUCAUAAGGCAAACCAGAAAUCCCACCAACUUUCUGCAUAGCUUUUCUCCAUUUUUUCACCUUUUCCUCCCCAAACCUCUCAGUAUGAGUACUGAAAUCUUUUUCAAAAUGACCCGUCUGUUUCCUAACAUUAGAAGGGUCAACAUCGUAGAACACUGGGAGUAUCAGCCUCCCUAGCUGGCAUAUUGUAGCGAGCUCCUCAAGGCACCAAUGAGAAUUAGCAUAGUUCGGAGAAAGCAUGAUGAUUGAAGCAGCCGAGUCUUCGAUGGCGUCGAGCAGGCUAGGGGCUAUUUCGUCCCCCUGACUCAUUCCCACGUCGUCGCGGAAGACCCGGACUCCGUGCUCGGUCAAUGAAUCGUAGAGGUUCUUGAUGAUAUUGUGGCGCGUGUCCUCGCCGCGAAAACUUAAGAAUACGUCCCAAUUGAGUCUCAGCGCGGCCAGAGGCGUGGAAACGAGGUCGGAGGACAUUGUUUGGCAACUGUUUGUCAGGUGGGAAGCAAGAUGUGGUGAUUA